rnacentral:sRNA from 1 species
CAAUAAUGCAUGAGAAAAGACGACUAGGCCACCAAGGUUAUUCAAUGCCAUGGUGGCACGAGAAUAAAAAUUGGAAAGGACGAGAACUCUGCAUGUUCUGAUUCUUGGAAGGCGAAAGACGGUGGAGCAGGAGACAGGCAGUUUCAAAGGAAAAGCAGACAUUGGAUUGAUGGGUUUGACUGCUGGUUUUCGUCUUAUUAAAGCAGGACAGCGUGACAACCCUGACAGAUUCUGAAUACCGAGAGUCUUGAUCCCGCCUUUUCUCCCGACCUAAAUGUCAUAGAGAACAUAUGGUAUCUCUUAAAGACCAAGGUCGCGGCUUUCCCCAGAGUCGCUACGUCGCUUAACGAGCUCUGGGAACAAAUGCAGAAGGCGUGGGAUGAGAUCGACCUGGAGCUGUCGAAGGAUCUGAUAGAUGAGAUGGAGCAGAGGCGUGUAGCGGUGUGGAAAGCCCAAGGGAAGUCUACCAAUACUAGAUUAUUGUGAAUUAUGCAUAGAACCUGUCUAUGUG